UUUAAGUAACAAUUUUCCAGAUACAAUCCAAAGUACAAAACAGUCUGUUUUCUCUUCUUUUAUUCUCUAUUGUUAUGAGAUAUGAAGACAAUAUGCAAAUUGAACACCAAAUUAUUGCUCUUCUCUCACAAUAUUCCGAAAUAAUUGAUAUGCUAACUCUAUCAUGUGGCAGAUACUACUUCCCAUUUCUUUCCAGAAUGGUGGAGGGGUCGAUGAUAGUCCGGGAAUACUACUACCCCGGUAUCAAGAGAGAUCAGGGAGAGAACGAGAGUUCAUCGAGAGAUUUAACAGGUACACUCAACAACACAAUAGUUGUUACAUCCAUAGUUACUUUGAGUCUCUUCUCAUUGUCCUUCUGGUGUAGUACAGCUUUCAACCUUAUGAGUUUGGCAACAGUCGUCCAUUAUACAUCUUGUCAAGUAACUUCCUUGCGUCUGGCCGCCUAAGAAGACCUUUAUUAUUAGGUAAACCAGUUCCUAAACAUACAGGACAUACUAGUUUCCCUCGUCCGUAACAAUUGGGGCACUCAGUGAACUCAUAAACGUCUUUAGCUCGUUUUCUGUUUAGAGCUUUCCAUUUUCCUGUACCACCACACAUAUCACAAAUUAUAGCGCCACUACCCCCACAAUUCCGACAGCCAGGACUUUCAUUUCCAUCUAAGGCAAUUGCUCUUGGUUCAGAAAUUGGAUUUCCAGAAGCAGUUAUCAGAGCUCCAGUUGAGCAUAGGCAGGUCAGACACCAUCUCCGUGAGACUGAUGUUUGAGAUCUCUUUUCCUCUACAUGUUCCCGUAAAUGCUCGGAAGAUGCAGAAGUACAACUCUCAUCUUCUGAGCUGCAGUUCACAUGAGACCCUACCCUCUUCUUCAUAUUCAACUGACUUAAAGAGGAAGAUUUGGGGUUUAAGUAUGAACCCCAUAGAGCUGAAGGAGUAGAAAAUGAGAGGUGGGAAG
rnacentral:misc_RNA from 1 species